UUCCGGUUGAUCCUGCCGGACCUGACUGCUAUCGGAUUGAUACUAGGCCAUGCGAGUCAUUGUAGCAAUACAAGGCAUACGGCUCAGUAACGCGUAGUCAACCUACCCUAUGGGCGGAAAUAACCUCGGGAAACUGAGAAUAAUAUCCGAUAGAACAUUAUGCCUGGAAUGGUUUAUGUUCCAACUGAUUUAUCGCCGUAGGAUGGGACUGCGGCCUAUCAGUUUGUUGGUGAGGUAAUGGCCCACCAAGACUAUUACAGGUACGGGCUCUGAGAGGAGUAGCCCGGAGAUGGGUACUGAGACACGGACCCAGGCCCUAUGGGGCGCAGCAGGCGGGAAAACUUUGCAAUGUGCGAAAGCACGACAAGGUCAAUCCGAGUGAUUUCUGCUAAAGAAAUCUUUUGUUAGUCCUAGAAACACUAACGAAUAAGGGGUGGGCAAGUUCUGGUGUCAGCCGCCGCGGUAAAACCAGCACCUCAAGUGGUCAGGAUGAUUAUUGGGCCUAAAGCAUCCGUAGCCGGCUCUGUUAGUCCUCGGUUAAAUCUGUACGCUUAACGUACAGGCUGCCGGGAAUACUGCAUAGCUAGGGAGUGGGAGAGGUAGACGGUACUCGGUAGGAAGGGGUAAAAUCCUUUGAUCUAUUGAUGACCACCUGUGGCGAAGGCGGUCUACCAGAACACGUCCGACGGUGAGGGAUGAAAGCUGGGGGAGCAAACCGGAUUAGAUACCCGGGUAGUCCCAGCUGUAAACUAUGCAAACUCAGUGAUGCAUUGGCUUGUGGCCAAUGCAGUGCUGCAGGGAAGCCGUUAAGUUUGCCGCCUGGGAAGUACGUACGCAAGUAUGAAACUUAAAGGAAUUGGCGGGGGAGCACCACAA
rnacentral:rRNA from 2 species